rnacentral:rRNA from 1 species
GACGGGGGAGGCAAGCGUUGUCCGGAAUUAUUGGGCGUAAAGAGUGCGUAGGUGGUACAUCAAGUCAUUUGUGAAAACUUUAGGCUUAACUUAAAGAUUGCAGGUGAUACUGAUGUUCUUGAGCACAGCAGAGGAAAGUGGAAUUCCUGGUGUAGCGGUAAAAUGCGCAGAUAUCAGGAAGAACACCAGUGGCGAAGGCGGCUUUCUGGGCUGUUGCUGACACUGAGGCACGAAAGCUAAGGGAGCAAACAGG